UUUGAAAGCGUUUAAGCUUUUUUUGUUAACCCCAAUUCCUCACACCUGCUAGAUCCCUUUAAUUACACUGAGAACUUCUAUAAAAUUAUAGAACAUUUUAUGCUAAAACUAGUAACAAGAGCUUACCCCUCUCUACAAUGCAAGUAUAAGCCAGCAAGAACUCAUCACUGGCAAAUAGCAGGCCUAAAUUCAAGUAGCAACCCCCCCCCCCCGAAAACACUACCUCACCUUAACUGUUAACCUAACACUAGAGCAUUCCAAGAAAGAUUAAAAGGGGGAGAAGGAAUUCCGCAAAUAUUAGUUCCGCCUGUUUACCAAAAACAUCGCCUCUUGUGAAUCAAUAAGAGGUCUAGCCUGCCCAGUGACUCUGUUCAACGGCCGCGGUAUCCUAACCGUGCAAAGGUAGCGUAAUCACUUGUCCCCUAAAUAGAGACUAGUAUGAAAGGCAUCACGAGAACUAAACUGUCUCCUCCCCCUAAUCAGUGAACCUAAUAACCCCGUGAAGAAGCGGGGAUCUCAAUAUAAGACGAGAAGACCCUAUGGAGCUUAAAACACUACAUCACCUGCCACCCACUUAUCCACCCUGGCACACUGAUUAUAUGUUUUUGGUUGGGGUGACCGCGGAGAAAAGCCUAUCCCCCGCGAUAAAGGAAUCCUCCACAAACAGUAAGUCACAACUUUAUGUAUCAGAAAACUGACAUUAUUGACCCAAUAUAUUUGAUCAACGAACCAAGUUACCCUAGGGAUAACAGCGCAAUCCACUUCGAGAGCUCCUAUCGACAAGUGGGCUUACGACCUCGAUGUUGGAUCGGGGUAUCCUAGUGGUGUAGCCGCUACU
rnacentral:rRNA from 1 species